UGGGGAAUAUUGGACAAUGGGCGCAAGCCUGAUCCAGCCAUGCCGCGUGUGUGAAGAAGGCCUUUUGGUUGUAAAGCACUUUAAGCGAGGAGGAGGCUACUUGGAUUAAUACUCUAGGAUAGUGGACGUUACUCGCAGAAUAAGCACCGGCUAACUCUGUGCCAGCAGCCGCGGUAAUACAGAGGGUGCGAGCGUUAAUCGGAUUUACUGGGCGUAAAGCGUGCGUAGGCGGCUUCUUAAGUCGGAUGUGAAAUCCCUGAGCUUAACUUAGGAAUUGCAUUCGAUACUGGGAAGCUAGAGUAUGGGAGAGGAUGGUAGAAUUCCAGGUGUAGCGGUGAAAAGCGUAGAGAUCUGGAGGAAUACCGAUGGCGAAGGCAGCCAUCUGGCCUAAUACUGACGCUGAGGUACGAAAGCAUGGGGAGCAAACAGG
rnacentral:rRNA from 1 species